rnacentral:rRNA from 1 species
CUUGGUCUGCGCAGGAUAGGUGGGAGGUGAAGAACAUGCCCUCGUGGGGGCAUGGGAGCCGACGGUGAGAUACCACUCUGACGAAGCUAGGAUUCUAACCUGAGACCGUAAGCCGGUUCGGGGAAAGUUUCAGGUGGGCAGUUUGACUGGGGCGGUCGCCUCCAAAAAGGUAACGGAGGCGCGCAAAGGUUCCCUCAGGCUGGUUGGAAAUCAGCCGAAGAGUGCAAAGGCAGAAGGGAGCUUGACUGCGAGACCAACAAGUCAAGCAGGGACGAAAGUCGGCCUUAGUGAUCCGACGGUACUGAGUGGAAGGGCCGUCGCUCAACGGAUAAAAGUUACUCUAGGGAA